rnacentral:rRNA from 1 species
GUCAUGGAGAGGAAGUAAAAGUCGUAACAAGGUUUCCGUAGGUGAACCUGCGGAAGGAUCAUUACCGAGUGCGGGCCGGCUGGGUCCGACCUCCCAUCCGUGUCUAUCUGUACCCUGUUGCUUCGGCGUGGCCACGGCCCGCCGGAGACUAACAUUUGGACGCUGUCUGAAGUUUGCAGUCUGAGUUUUUAGUUAAACAAUCGUUAAAACUUUCAACAACGGAUCUCUUGGUUCCGGCAUCGAUGAAGAACGCAGCGAAAUGCGAUAAUUAAUGUGAAUUGCAGAAUUCUAGUGAAUCAUCGAGUCUUUGAACGCACAUUGCGCCCCCUGGUAUUCCGGGGGGCAUGCCUGUCCGAGCGUCAUUGCUGCCCUCAAGCACGGCUUGUGUGUUGGGCUUCCGUCCCUGGCAACGGGGACGGGCCCAAAAGGCAGUGGCGGCACCAUGUCUGGUCCUCGAGCGUAUGGGGCUUUGUCACCCGCUCCCGUAGGUCCAGCUGGCAGCUAGCGUCGCAACCAAUCUUUUUAACCAGGUGAC